UACGUAGGGUGCGAGCGUUAAUCGGAAUUACUGGGCGUAAAGCGUGCGCAGGCGGUCUGUUAAGACCGAUGUGAAAUCCCCGGGCUUAACCUGGGAACUGCAUUGGUGACUGGCAGGCUUGAGUGUGGCAGAGGAGGUAGAAUUCCACGUGUAGCAGUGAAAUGCGUAGAGAUGUGGAGGAAUACCGAUGGCGAAGGCAGCCUCCUGGGCCAACACUGACGCUCGAUGCACGAAAGCGUGGGGAGCAAACAGG
rnacentral:rRNA from 1 species